rnacentral:rRNA from 1 species
AAGGGUAUGCUGAGAGAUGGGCUUGCGGCACAUUAGUUAGUUGGUAAGGUAACGGCUUACCAAGACCAUGAUGUGUAGCUGGACUGAGAGGUUGAACGGCCACAUUGGGACUGAGAUACGGCCCAAACUCCUACGGGAGGCAGCAGUAAGGAAUUUUCGGCAAUGGAGGAAACUCUGACCGAGCAACGCCGCGUGAACGAUGAAGUAUUUAGGUAUGUAAAGUUCUUUUAUUAAAGAAGAAAAAAUGAUGGAAAAAUCAUUCUGACGGUAUUUAAUGAAUAAGCCCCGGCUAACUAUGUGCCAGCAGCUGCGGUAAUACAUGGGGGGCAAGCGUUAUCCGGAUUUAUUGGGCGUAAAGGGUGCGUAGGCGGUUUAAUAAGUCUAUGGUCUAAGUUCAACGCUUAACGUUGUGAUGCUAUAGAAACUGUUUGACUAGAGUUGGAUAGAGGCAAGUGGAAUUCCAUGUGUAGCGGUAAAAUGCGUAAAGAUAUGGAGGAACACCAGUAGCGAAGGCGGCUUGCUGGGUCUUAACUGACGCUGAGGCACGAAAGCGUGGGGAGCAAACAGGAUUAGAUACCCUGGUAGUCCACGCCGUAAACNAUGAGUACUAAGUGUUGGGUUAAACCAGUGCUGAAGUUAACGCAUUAAGUACUCCGCCUGAGUAGUACGUACGCAAGUAUGAAACUUAAAGGAAUUGACGGGACUCCGCACAAGCGGUGGAUCAUGUUGUUUAAUUCGAAGAUACACGAAAAACCUUACCNGUCUUGACAUACUCUGCAAAGCUAUAGAAAUAUAGUGGAGGUUAUCAGGAUACNGUGGNGCAUGGUNGUCGUCAGCUCGUGUCGUGAGAUGUUGGGUUAAGUCCCGCNACGAGCGCNACCCNUAUCGCUANUACCAUCAUUUANNNG